rnacentral:rRNA from 1 species
AGAUUGAACGCUAGCGGGAUGCUUUACACAUGCAAGUCGAACGGCAGCGCGGACUUCGGUCUGGCGGCGAGUGGCGAACGGGUGAGUAAUAUAUCGGAACGUGCCCAGUAGCGGGGGAUAACUACGCGAAAGCGUGGCUAAUACCGCAUACGCCCUACGGGGGAAAGGGGGGGAUCGGCAAGACCUCUCACUAUUGGAGCGGCCGAUAUCAGAUUAGCUAGUUGGUGAGGUAAAGGCUCACCAAGGCGACGAUCUGUAGCUGGUUUGAGAGGACGACCAGCCACACUGGGACUGAGACACGGCCCAGACUCCUACGGGAGGCAGCAGUGGGAUUUGGACAAUGGGGGAACCUGAUCCAGCCAUCCCGCGUGUGCGAGUGAAGG